rnacentral:misc_RNA from 1 species
GUUUGAGGAGAGAACUUGAUGAGCUGAUUCAGACCAAACUUUUGAAUCCUAGGAUGGAUAUACACACGUAUCAUGAGCUCCUAUCUGCCAUACGUUUACUGGUUUCAGAGGAUAAAAGUGAUGGCAAAUUUGUAUUUGGUCGUCAAGUUCUGAAACCCUCAAAGAUCUCUGUUAUGGCAACACGGCCAGCUCUAGUGUCGAGGACUGAAAGUGGACCUGGAGGUGAUAAUUCUAAGAGUCAGCUCCAAACAUUGCUAACCAGGGCAGGAUAUGCUGCACCAAUUUACAAGACAAAGCAGUUGAAGAACAACCAAUUUCGAGCUACUGUGGAGUUUAAUGGAAUGCAAGUAAUGGGGCAGCCUUGCAACAACAAGAAGAGUGCAGAGAAGGAUGCAGCGGCUGAGGCCCUGCAGUCACUGAUGGGUGGGGCCCAGACAGGCCAUGAAUACAUUAAUCAAAUGUCAAUGCUGCUAAAGAAAAGCAAGAAGGAUCACUACUGAACUAGCAUUUUUGAGCAUCCCAUAAGACAGCUCUUCCUGAAUUUAAAAAGCAUAGUAUGUGCUUAGCCAUGCCUGAUCAGGCUACAUGUAGCCGCAUUUUAUGUGGGUCCAUCUGCUCUUCUCCAUCUUUGAGGAAAAAGAGAAUGGAAUGCAACAUUACUUUACUAAGCCUAGCCUUGCGUUGAUGUACCGGUACGGCAUUUAGCAAAUGGAGUGAUAUAGCAAUCUGGCACCAGAAUUGUGGGCUCAUGCUAGUUCAAGUUAAUUUGGAUUAAUUGACCUGGUUUCAGAGUUCAGACAUGGAGUUAAACCUGACUAUUUAGUAUUUACUAACUGGUGCUCAUCACUGUUUUCCAGUUUGUUGAUGUUUGAAGCUGCGUGAUUGAUACAGGCAAUGCAUUCAUCUCACGCAGACCUUCUGGAAUAGCAUGGAAGUAUACAGUACGCAGAUUUUUUAUAGGAAUAGGAGUAUAUUGUAACCCUUUCGAGUCUAUUAGAUUUUAACUGAUUUUUGUGUAUAAAUGUGAUGCUAGAGACCUGAGAGGUCUGUAUAUUGUAAUGGUUGAAUGGUGAACGGCUAACAGUAUGCAACUCUUUUAUUGUUAUUAAAGGCCAUAGCGUGAAGGAUCUCCAUGCAUUUUUUUUUUAACGAACGAAACAAAAG